AUAUAUGCAUUCAUGCACCCAAC
rnacentral:siRNA from 1 species